GAUGAACGCUGGCGGCGUGCUUAACACAUGCAAGUCGAACGGUGAAGGCGGAGCUUGCUCUGCUGGAUCAGUGGCGAACGGGUGAGUAACACGUGAGCAAUCUGCCCCUGACUCUGGGAUAAGCGCUGGAAACGGCGUCUAAUACUGGAUACGAGCUGCGAAGGCAUCUUCAGCAGCUGGAAAGAAUUUCGGUCAGAGAUGAGCUCGCGGCCUAUCAGCUUGUUGGUGAGGUAAUGGCUCACCAAGGCGUCGACGGGUAGCCGGCCUGAGAGGGUGACCGGCCACACUGGGACUGAGACACGGCCCAGACUCCUACGGGAGGCAGCAGUGGGGAAUAUUGCACAAUGGGCGAAAGCCUGAUGCAGCAACGCCGCGUGAGGGACGACGGCCUUCGGGUUGUAAACCUCUUUUAGCAGGGAAGAAGCGAAAGUGACGGUACCUGCAGAAAAAGCGCCGGCUAACUACGUG
rnacentral:rRNA from 1 species